AGAGUUUGAUCAUGGCUCAGAAUGAACGUUGGCGGCGUGGAUCAGGCAUGCAAGUCGAACGAAUCCCCGCAAGGGGGGAAGUGGCGAAAGGGGCAGUAAGGCAUGGGUAACCUGCCCCGGACUUCGGGAUAGCCUUCCUAACGGAUGGGUAAUACCGAAUGGCGUAACGAGCGGGCAUCCGCUUGCUACGAAAGCUCAGGCGGUCCGGGAGGGGCUCAUGUGGUAUUAGCUUGAUGGUGAGGUAACGGCUCACCAUGGCCGAGAUGCCUAGCGGGUGUGAGAGCACGACCCGCGCCACUGGCACUGUGACACUGGCCAGACGCCUACGGGAGGCUGCAGUCGAGGAUCUUCGGCAAUGGGCGAAAGCCUGACCGAGCGACGCCGCGUGUGCGAUGAAGGCCUUCGGGUUGUAAAGCACUGUCGUGGGGGAGAAAAGGAAACUUGAUCGACCCCAGGAGGAAGCUCGGGCUAAGUUCGUGCCAGCAGCCGCGGUAAUUC
rnacentral:rRNA from 1 species